CGGGGUGUAGCGCAGCCUGGUAGCGCGCAACGUUCGGGUCGUUGAGGCCGGAGGUUCGAAUCCUCUCACCCCGACCA
rnacentral:tRNA from 1 species